ACAGCAACCAACUUGCAACAUUCUGCAGGAGCUGGAGAGCCAGUGACCAGGGACAGAGGCAUCCGGAAGAGCCCAGCUGCUGCUAUCCAGGAAGAAACCUUGUAUACUAUGGUGAAGGGAACACAGAACAAAGAGAGCAUGGAGCUGGACAUUAUGGUGAGACUCUUCCACAAUGCUAUGAACUUAUGACCCACUUUACCCUGGAAUCAAUCACUGUCCUUUUUCAGCUCUCAGCAUUACCCACAGCUGGCUUCUUGAUUCUGGAAGCACUUGUCUUCUGUAUGCUAUGGCCUCACCCUUGUUUCUUUACUUUUGACCAUAUGGCCAUACAUUCUGUUCUCACAGCAUCUCUCUGCUUGCUAGCAUGCAUCCUGGUCUCAGAAGACUAUGUAAGUGCCUGAAGCUAGUUCAAUGGUAAAGUUAUUACUUUGAAUGCAUAAGGCUUAAUAUUAUUGACAAAACUAAAAAGUAAGUGAACAGGAAAUAUGAAUAUAUGAGAACCCUCACCUGACAAUGUUUGUGUGCACACAUGUAUGAGAACAGGUAGAUGAUAGAGGUCAACAAUCGAUGUCUUCUUCUAUUUUAUUCCACCUCAUUUUCUGAGCCAGAGUUCCUCAAUGACCCUGAAGAUCAUUGAUUGGCUAGAUUGCUAUCAUUGAGCCUUGGACACCAGUCUCCCUUCCCCAGUGCUUGGGUACUAGGCAUGUGCAUUCUUGCUUGGCUUUUUUCAAAAUGUAGGCACUGGGUAUCUAACUCAGUCACUCAUAUUUGUAAAGUCUGCUGCUUGACUCCUCUUCCAAUUUCCUGGAUCUCACUCUUGACCAUGCCUCCUGUGGCAGUAGCAGACACAGAGAGAACAGAAUUCCCCCCACACGGGGACAAGCUAUAGGAUGGAAUAUGAUGAAGACGACACAGAGACUGAGCCUUGCAAAGUGUUUGAGGGAAAUGAAUUAGAGGAAAUUAGUUGUGGUUGUGUAGGGGAACAUCAUCAAUGUAAAUUUAAAGGGAGGGCUGAAAAUAGGCUUCUUAAGAGAAAUCUGAGUGGAUAGGAUACUAGAAACAUGACGAACUGGCACAUCUAGGCAGGACAUGGCAGGUACAGGUGUUAUGUGGGAAGGAACAUUCUUUUUCUAAAAGAUGGAGACCAUGGAGUGAGGUCACCUUGCGUGCAUAAUAUAUCAGAAGUUCAGGAAGAAACUGCCAGGCACUCAGAGGUCUUAGGAAACUCCAGAGACCCCAUCAGCAAUGACAUGGUUUGACUUAGAUGUCUAAAGUAGUACUUUUCCACCCCAUAGAAAUCAA